rnacentral:rRNA from 1 species
UACGUAGGGUGCAAGCGUUAAUCGGAAUUACUGGGCGUAAAGCGUGCGCAGGCGGUUCUUUAAGACAGAUGUGAAAUCCCCGGGCUCAACCUGGGAACUGCAUUUGUGACUGCAUCGCUGGAGUGCGGCAGAGGGGGAUGGAAUUCCGCGUGUAGCAGUGAAAUGCGUAGAUAUGCGGAGGAACACCGAUGGCGAAGGCAAUCCCCUGGGCCUGCACUGACGCUCAUGCACGAAAGCGUGGGGAGCAAACAGG